CUGUUCAGAUAUGAAUAUUCUUCAGGUUCUUUAGAUUUCUUUAAAAAUCCAAUUUUGUUUUCUAAUAAGCAAAAAGUUAAAUCACUUUACCCAUGUUUAUAUGUUAAAUUGCACUUGUCUCUCUCUCUAUCUCUGUUAACACAUUUGUAUUUGUUUGAUUCAUUCUUGUGUCUUUCAGUCUGUUUCUGCCUAUCACCAUGAGUGAUUCCUUGAUACUCAUAUUUAUCAUCAAGAUCUCAAUUAUAAGCUCAAGUCUUGAUGACAACUUGAUGAUCUGCAGGAAGCACCACCAUGUAUAGAGGGCCAAGACCACUCUGGAAUCAGUCAAGGGUGAAAUGGAGUGAGGCAUACCAGGAUAUGCCUGGUUUUACUCUUGGGAAGGAGGUUGAACAGUGCAGUGUUUCUUCUCUAGGAUUGCAGUGACCAGACAUGCUACUGUAACUCUCAUGGUCAUGUGCUGGAAUUAGCAGAUAUUCAACAAUUUGGCCAUCUCGCUGACCCAUUGAUAUCAGAAGACUGUAACAGCUCUGCAAAGCAAGUUGCAAAACAGAAUCCAUGAAACUGGCAGUGACUGGAAACCAAUUGGAAGACUUUGGUCUGUGAUGUAGAGGAGUGGGCAGACGCAGAAGCAAAGACAACAAAAAACAGAAGUGAUAUGGAUGUCUUCAUCAUAUGGCAUGACUCUGCUGACCCAGCAACAAAGAGGAGGGUGUUCAACAUCAUCCUGCUAGUCAGGAUUCUUCAGGAAAAGCAGUGGAUUCUUGUGGCAGAGAUGGCCAACCACUAGAAAUACCUUUCAACUCAUCCUGGUUCCUUCAAAGAACUUUCCUGCUUGUUUGCUACUGAAAAGUACUGAUUCGACAUGUGGCCUAAACGAAGAGGGGUUAAAAGGUCUAUGGAUCAUCAUUCUCAG